UCACGGGCUGAAGAUGUAAAUGAUAAAAGACAAAGACAGAUUUCAGGAAGUGAUGGCUCUUUUCUCCAGUUCUUUAUUUUCAAGUUAUGUAAAUGUUAGACAACAAACCAAAAAAAUUGUUUUGGCUAUUCAGCUGAUUCAGAAAAUGCAGAUAAAUAUUUUUACAAGUCUUCAGUCACCUACUAAUUCUUGAGCCAACUUGAGUUGCUACUGUGACUCUACCAAAGCUGACAGCAGAAAUGAUAAAAAACAAAUUGGCAGGUAUGAUUGUCCCUGUCUUUUUUAGAUAAAAUUAUCCACAUAUUGCUGGCUAACUUGGUCUGAGUUUUUAGUUAUUUAUUUUAAAAUGCAGGCUCUGUCACCAGGAACGUGUGGAAGUGCCAAGGACCUGGUGGAAUGCAGGUUAUACAUGUGACACUUAUAACAACACACUGUGACAACAGGCAUUGCAAAUUCUCACUGCAUUUUCUUCCUCUUGUUAUCACAUUUCAACAGGUAGGACACAUUUCAAACAUUUUCUGCUCUUUAGAGCAAAAUUCGAGUUUUGUCUCUGAAUCUGGCCUUUCAGAAGGCAAGACAACCACACAGUAUUUUGGAUAUUCUUCCUGGGAAUUGCUGCUUGGGAAAACAGCAGAUUUUUUUUUUAUUGUGCAUAACACAAGUAAUUAAAAUUUGUUAUUAAGCAAAUAUUUUUAGAAAAACAAAACAUGCUGGGUUGGUUCUUCCUCUGAGCUUCAGUGAAGGGCUGAGAACAGUUUUUACCUGAGCGCACUGGCUGCUCUCUCAGAACAGGUUUCGAGUCAUUGCCCCGGUUUAACACCUAAAACCCACUUUUCAGCCUUUUUCAUUAAAACCGAUUUUUGAGCCUUUUUCCUUAAAGCCGAGCCCCUCCCACCUGGCGUGUGCCCGCGCCAUCAGCGCGCGCCGCCGGUCACGUGGCCCUUGUUUACCUCGGGCCGCUCCGAGGUGGCGGCGCCGCGGCGAGUGAGGGAGCGACAGAGCGGCCCCGACAGAUAGACAGACACACACCGACCGACAGAGAGACCCCGACCGGGGCAGCGAGACAUCGGCGUGGGGAAAGGGCGUACCCCGCAGGGCGGUGUGAGGUGCGCUUGUCCCCCCUCAGGAGCGGCGGCAAGGACUGGUGUCCCCUCAGGAGUGCCAUGAGGCUCACCAUGGCCCUGCCAGCGAAGAGGUGUGGAAGGCCCCCAGUGUUGUCUUUUCUGGAAAAGAAAAAGAGAAAGCAAAGUCUUGAUAGAAGAGGAAAACAAGGAUUUAUGUGGGAAGUCUCAUUGACUGGUGGCUGACACUUAAGGAAAAGUUGAAUUUGAGAAAUGAUGCAGAAGUUGCAGCGUUUUUACCAGAUUUCUGAGCACAUGCCACUACUGCAGAUGAAACAGAGGCAGAACUUCUUUGCAGAAGAAGAGUUUCAGCUUGGGUUGUAUUUGCAGGUAUGACAAUGAUGACCAGCUGCCUAAAGAAUCUGUGUGUUCUGGAUUCAGAGACAUGAGAAUUGUAACUGUGAAAGAGGAGCGAGAGUUGCCAGGGGACUGCACAUUGACAAGGACAGGGAGACACAGAGACCAUAGGACAUUGCACUGGCAUUGCAUGAUGUGUCCAAACCCCUUGCCAAUAUGGUCAACAGGUGAACAAGUUGGUGUUCAAAAAUCAAUUCUAUGGCAGAGAAGAAUCCUUGGAAGCUAGGUCAGGAGCAAAUAAAUACCAGUGCUGAUGAAGCUGGAGAAUUCAAGUACAUUCUUCAAAACAGCAUUUUUCUCUGGCACUAUAAUUUUAGUUUGGAGUGCAGUAGUAACUGAAUUCCUGGAACUGAUUUGAUACAGGUGAGGCAGUUUGUGUUUUAACUGAUUGCUUACUUCAGCCUUCUGAGAUGCAAGAAAUAUUGUGAAUAGUUGUUUGGUAUGAAAACAACUUUGUUGCCCUAAAAGGUAAGGUGGUGAGGCUUUGAAAGAGUCUGAUGAGAUCAGUAUCUCAGUUCUGAAUCCCACCAAGUACAUCAAAUGCUGGACAAAUGAUCAGCCAUGUACACAGUGGUAAUUGUACAAGGCUAAGGAGCAGCAGCUGCCUGAGGGUAAGGAGAUUCAAAAACAAGAGGAGUUUAUUGAGACAGAGAUCCUAGGGCAUGCUGUAUUAUUCCAGGGAAUAUUUACCUACCAGGAGUAGUUGUAUAACUUCACUAUGAGGAAAAUGGUUUGUGUUUCAGUGUGUGAACACCCCAUCAAAGGGUUUGUCUUUCACUCACAGGACAGCAGUGAGUAAAGUGCUGAUGUCACUGAGGUUCUUACGGACUGGGGGAUGUCCACACAGGGGUCAGGUCAGUUGCCCAAAGUCCUGUUGGUAGCUGAAUUUGCAUAUUAAAAGUAAGAUCAAACUCAGUUGCUAACUGAGUGUUUUUAGAAAUCUGGGCAGAUAGAAAAUAGUGAAUUUUCUUCAGAAAGGAGCAGUGCUUUUGUUAAUGUAUGCUUCUUGUUUUCAAAGGUGUGGUACUGCACUUCCUAUUGAAGGGAGGCGAUGCAGGCAGGUAUUUCCUGCUUUGCAGGCACUUGGCUGUCGUGUUUUCCUCUUGUUGCUUUGGGCUUUACCAAGUAUGUCUUCUCAUUCUGUGCUUGUAAGGGUCAGGAAAACAACAAGGUCUUAUUGUAGGUGCUUUAUUAGCACAUUCAGUAUUAAUAAUCAUAAAGCAGCUGUUGUAUUCUAGGCUUUUUAUUCUUGAAUCUAGUUUUGGGUUGGCCAAACACCAGUUAUUAAGGAAUUUCACACAUCAAAGACAUUGUAGGAAGAGCACUUAAUUUCAGCUUCAUUGGUGGCUUAAUGUUUGGUUUCUGGCUUGGUUUUGGAGCCUGAUGACACUGGCUUUCAGCAGUUGUAGAGAAUUAAGUUGAUGGAGAAGCAGUGAGGGAGUCAAGUGACUUCAAGAUUCUUGCCAGAUGAAAUGGAAUGGCUUUUUGAGUUGUGGCUAUUGUGAGGAGUUGGCAGGUUGAUAUAACAGGAAGGAAAAAAUGUACAGAAAUUCUGAUUUCAAGGGGCAUUAGCAGGGCCAAGCCAACUGGAAGGGUUACCAGCCCACAUCCAGUAAGGUUUCUGAAGACAAUCCUUCUCCAAUGCUGCUUUUGUUAUUAGCAUCUAACUUUAACAUUUGGAAUAUAACCAAGCUAAUUUAAAGUUCUUUUUCUGGUUUACGUGUAACAAUUACAAAGCUGUCAAAGCAGGUAAUAAACAAUCUUUUCUAAAAUACAUGUUAUUUGCUCUAACAUUGAAAAGUGAUGAGUCAAAGUAGUUGAAUGGGGUUUUUUGAGGAAGCAUUGAGAAAUUUGAAAUACUUUCACUGUUGUAGUAGUUGAAUGACAGGGAUUCAAAAAUUCCUUUACCUGUGUUAAUAAGACAGAUUCUCAUGGUAGAACUGUUCCAGGGGGUUGGAACAAGAUCUUUAAGGUCCCUUCCAGCCCAAACCUUUCUGUGAUUCUGUCAACUGGCUUUCUUGGAAUUUGAUUAUGGGCUGUAUCUUUUUUUUCCCCCCUCAAUUCAGUAAAAAUGAAACAGAAUACAAAUACAAAACAGAUGCUCAGAAGUUUCACAGCAGUUCAGUGAGGAAGAGGAAACGUGCAGUAGGAUGAAUUGGUGUCAGUCAGUAACAAAUGUUGAGUUGGGAAGCCCCAGCUUUGUGGGAGGCUUCAGCCUGUCCCUGUCUCUCCUAAAAUGGCACUGGCAGCACCUUUUGUAAUGAUUUUUGCUGCACAGCUUUCCUCAUAGCUGUGGGACUUUGCAAGACUCUGUGUUGCAGGACUUCUCUUCAUCUUGAGUAAUGUGUUCUCUGAAAAGCCGUGUGAUUACUGUCCAGACAAGGCAGUUGUAAAGUGCAGUUUCCUUGGAAAGCAAAUAAACAAUCUCAAGAGAAGGUCCAGCAAGCUGUUAAUGCUGAAGACUUGCCAUGACAAAGGUGAACAGCUGAGGAGUUUCUUAGAAGCAGGAAAGUAGAAGUUAAAUUUAGAAGAAAAAGAAAAAAAAAAUAUAACCUGCUUGGUAGGGCAGCUUCCUGUGCUCUCCAAACAAAUCAAUUUUCAGUGCCUUGUUUUGACUAGUUGGAAUUUUUAAUUGGCCUAAAAGAUUCUGUAUGUACUGUUUUUCAUCUUUAGUGUUUGUAGUUUGUUUUUAAUUAAAGAAGAAAGAAAAAAACCAAAAACAACCACCCCUCACCCCUGACAAACCACAGCCUGUGGUUGUUUCACUAAAGUGACUUCAAAGGGACUGUAACACAGCUUUUCCUUGCAGACAACUGAGUGGUUAGUUUCAGACAAAUAAUUUAUUGUAAUGCUGAGUGUUGGUCUGCAUUUCACUAUAAUGAAACCUCUGUUUAUAUAUCAUGGAACAUACCAUGUUGGUCUCUUCAUGUGUAUUGCAUGUAGAAAAGCACAAAUGCACUUCCUGUGAUAUUUCCUCUUAUUUCCAAGUUACAGAAUUGGAUUAAGGGAAUGCACUUCCCUAGACAUAAUGAAACAAUACAAACUUAUUUCAUGUUUAGGUAUUUGAAUGUCAUAUUGUAACUGUUAUUACUGUGUUGCUUUUCAGGGGAGCAGCAAGAAGAAAAUCAAGCUCUUGCCUAACAAUACAGGGGCAGUUUUUACUCCAUUUUGAUUUUGCUAUGAGGUUAUUGUGAGCUGUAAAGGAUUACAGUAAGUUGUGUGAAAUUCCAUGUUUUGUUGAACAACACAUUAAACUUAAUUACCUAAAGUUUUGCUGUGUUAUGUUAAUGUUAAUAAAGUGUGUGGGGUGGAUUAUU